GUGUUAUGGUCACUGGUGACAACGCUGAGCUUCAGCAACAGCGAAGACAAGUGGCUGGGACUCUGCUGCCCCGGGGAAGCAGCGUGUUCCUCAGCAGAGGAAGGAGACAAAUGCCCCAGUAUGUUUUGCCAACAACUUCCACCCAGGAUGGAGCCGAAAUCUUUGUUCAUCGUGGAUUUGUGGAAAAAAUUUCAGCAAGCUCACGCUAAGAAGGUUUAAGACAGAGGUACCUAGAACUGACAGUGGGUUAAUGACGGAUGGACUAAGGUGGCAUUCAGUGGGCCGCCCCGGGUAUUAAAGUGCAGUGGAAACCCCAGAUCCUCGAGUUGAACUCGUUACGGCAUCAAACCAGCCCAGCCGUGGUGCAGCGGGAUGCGACGGGCCCUGGAGAGCUUCCCCGAGGAGAGGCAGGUUCCUGCGCCAGCCUGGCCCCAAUGAGCAGAUGUUCCCUGCAGGUGCCAGAGUGAUGGGAACCGAGAGCCGCUCCUAGCCGAAGCGGGCUCAGCUCCCCCCGCUCAGCAGAUGGUUGAUGCCUUGGUGGCCCGUGCAAGGCAGAAGAGCGAGCCGUCGUUGCCGUGCGGCCGCGGCACACCCAG